rnacentral:rRNA from 1 species
CCGCGUGCAGGAAGAAGGCCUUCGGGUUGUAAACUGCUUUUGUCAGGGAAGAAAUCCUCUGGGUUAAUACCUCGGGGGGAUGACGGUACCUGAAGAAUAAGCACCGGCUAACUACGUGCCAGCAGCCGCGGUAAUAACGUAGGGUGCGAGCGUUAAUCGGAAUUACUGGGCGUAAAGCGUGCGCAGGCGGUUGUGCAAGACAGGUGUGAAAUCCCCGGGCUUAACC